UCUCCGUUGGUGAACCAGCGGAGGGAUCAUUACAGAGUCGUAAAACACUCCCAAACCCAUGUGAAUUUACCUUUGUUGCCUCGGCAGGACCUACCCGGUAUCUACCCUGUAGUUACCCUGUAGCCUGCCGGUGGACCAAUAAACUCUUGUUAUUUUAUGGAAAUCUGAGCGUCUUAUUUAAUAAGUCAAAACUUUCAACAACGGAUCUCUUGGUUCUGGCAUCGAUGAAGAACGCAGC
rnacentral:misc_RNA from 1 species